GCUUGGCCGCCGCACUUUUUUAAUUUUUUCGGGUGCCGCAGCGGCGACCCCUCGGCGCAGAUGUCCCUGAUCCCCCGAGCGACGACGGGCGCAGCCUAACCUGGAAAGAGGAAUGCCCACUCCUGCGCAGGCCUCAUUGGUGGAGGAGGGGCAACCACAGACACGCCAGGAAGCUGCCUCCACUGGCCCAGGCAUGGAACCCGAGACCACAGCCACCACUAUUCUAGCUUCCGUGAAGGAGCAGGUGUUUACAUCCCUGAGUACAUUGGGAUGACUGGCACGUAGACCGCUCCAGGUGCCAGUCAGAAUCGGAACAUGCAGGAUACUUGUGCGUCUGCAAGUAAGGACAAUAUCGAUGGUGAUUGGUGUCUCUGUCUCUCCCACA